ACGUAAGUUGUCCGACGACUGCUUGAA
rnacentral:sRNA from 1 species